UACGUAGGGUGCGAGCGUUGUCCGGAAUUACUGGGCGUAAAGAGCUCGUAGGCGGUUUGUCGCGUCUGCCGUGAAAGUCCGGGGCUCAACUCCGGAUCUGCGGUGGGUACGGGCAGACUAGAGUGAUGUAGGGGAGACUGGAAUUCCUGGUGUGAGCGGUGGAAAUGCGCAGAUAUCAGGAGGAACACCGGUGGCGAAGGCGGUUCUCUGGGCAUUACCUGACGCUGGAGGAGCGAAAGCGUGGGGAGCGAACAGG
rnacentral:rRNA from 1 species